UACGUAGGGAGCAAGCGUUGUCCGGAAUCAUUGGGCGUAAAGCGCGCGUAGGUGGCCUCAUAAGUCCGCUGUGAAAGUCAAAGGCUCAACCUUUGAAAGCCGGUGGAUACUGUGGGGCUAGAGUACGGAAGAGGCGAGUGGAAUUCCUGGUGUAGCGGUGGAAUGCGCAGAUAUCAGGAGGAACACCAAUAGCGAAGGCAGCUCGCUGGGACGUUACUGACACUGAGACGCGAAAGCGUGGGGAGCAAACAGG
rnacentral:rRNA from 1 species